CCUACGGGCGGCUGCAGUGGGGAAUAUUGCACAAUGGGCGCAAGCCUGAUGCAGCCAUGCCGCGUGUGUGAAGAAGGCCUUCGGGUUGUAAAGCACUUUCAGCGGGGAGGAAGGCGGUGAGGUUAAUAACCUCAUCGAUUGACGUUACCCGCAGAAGAAGCACCGGCUAACUCCGUGCCAGCAGCCGCGGUAAUACGGAAGGUGCAAGCGUUAAUCGGAAUUACUGGGCGUAAAGCGCACGCAGGCGGUCUGUCAAGUCGGAUGUGAAAUCCCCGAGCUCAACCUGGGAACUGCAUUCGAAACUGGCAGGCUAGAGUCUUGUAGAGGGGGGUAGAAUUCCAGGUGUAGCGGUGAAAUGCGUAGAGAUCUGGAGGAAUACCGGUGGCGAAGGCGGCCCCCUGGACAAAGACUGACGCUCAGGUGCGAAAGCGUGGGGAGCAAACAGGAUUAGAUACCCGAGUAGUC
rnacentral:rRNA from 1 species